CAGUAAAUGCUGUGGCAUGAAGGACCCUCCUGGAGUGUCUGAGUUCUCAGGCUUCAAGGCCCCUAGAUAAGCAGAUUUCUCUCCCCUAUCACCAUAGUCACCCCAGGGACUGCAGGGCAGGCCGAAAUCAGCCAGUGACUCAGCUCCUUGGGCAAUUCAGCUGGCCCACAGACCACUUCCUCUGCUCCCCAGCGCCGGAUGGAUGCAGAUCUGUGAGUAAGGAGCCAGCUGCAGGCAAGCAGCUCGAGGGCAGGUGGGCAUGAUGUCUGGCUACCACUCGCACUGGACGCCACACACACAGCCAGGGUGGCAGAAGGCCCCACCUGCCAUGUGCCAGUGGGACACCACCCUCAUGGUCUGCGUUUCCAGGUUUCCAACUAAGGACUGAGCACACUCUCAACAUGGACCUCCUAACUGCUCUCGAGGAUGGACAGCUGGCCUCAAGGGAACACUGCAAAGUGGCUCUAGGAAGAAGCCACUGUCCCUCCAGACCAUAAAAAUGGCUACCAAGGGCAGAGCCAGCAGCUUUCGCUGUAAAGUUUCUCAAGAAAAUCACAGAUAUUCCCCUCUGUGAUGUUCAGCUCAGCCUGGAAAGGAGAGGUAGAAACUGAGAGUUGAAGAGGCUGAAUAAUUUCUCAAGCACACUCCCAACUCGACCACCCACAAGCAAAAAGGCAGAGCUGGGAUUCAAACACAGGCCGCUGGAAGACCUGGAUGCCCGUCGUGGGACAAGAGCCAGAAGCACUCACCCAGUGCCAACACCUGCUGGGCCACAAACAGUUUCUGCUUGGGAUCCCAACACAGGCAGCAGAGUCAGCAAAAACUCUAAGAUAUCAAGAAGUCAAGCAUUUCUUAACAACAGCAGCAAACUCUUACACAGGGCUGUGGUUACCAGACACUGCUCUAAAUAACUUACACUUGUUUACUUAUUUCAUCCUCACAACAACGGGUAAAUAUUUUAGGUCUCUGCCAAUUUGCCUGAUUACUGAAUUAGGUUGAAUCAUUAAAAUGAAUAACUUGAUAAUACCCAAUUUCAAAGAGGGGUCACAUAUGAAAACUCUAUGAGAGAUUCUCAGCAUCUUGCAGACAUUCAUUCCCUAAAUAUUCAUUGAGUGUUUGUUAUGGACGAGACACUGUUCUAGGACCUGGGAAGAGAGGAGCGAACACACAAGACAAAGUCCCUGUUCUCACGAAGCUUCUGUUCCAGUGCGGGGAGGCAACAGUAGAAAAGGAGACAAAUGCCAUGCAGAAGAAAAAGCAGGGAAAAAGAGAUAGAGCACAAUGACAAUGCUGUUAAUACCCAUUCAUUUAUUCACUUAUUUCCAAGGACUUACUAACCAUGUCAUUUCUUGCCCACAGCUGCAUGCCAGGCACUAUGCCAGAUAAAAUUGUGGGUAAGAAAUAGACAUGGUCUCUGCCUGUAUGGAGUACUUACAUAAGAGGAACAUCUAUUAUUAGUCAAAUAAUCACCUAAAUAAAUGCAAAGAUGUUAAUCUGUGAUAGGUGUGAUAGCAGAAUUGCAUGUAGUCCUUGUGAGAGCAUCUCAAGGAGGCCUGACCUUGUCUAAGGGGAGGCCUGAAAUGGAGUGUGGGGAGGAGCAAUGUGUUAGUCCAUUUUGCAUUGCUAUAAAGGAAUAUCUGAGGCUGGGUAAUUUAUAAAGAAAAGAGGUUU
rnacentral:lncRNA from 1 species